AUGGAUGAUUUUGCGAAGACAAUAUCUUGGUUGGAGCGCCAAGAAGAGAAGCCAGAGCCAAACGAAUUGAAGGCAAUAGCUGCUGAAGGGGUUAUCACUUGUCUUCAGGAUGCCAUUGAAUCCCUUGAGCAAGGCAAUGAUACCAGUGGGGUGGCGGAGCAGUGGAGCUUCGUCCCCCAUGUUGUGGACGAGCUAGUGCGGCUGGACAGAGAGGGCUCAUCGCUGUCUAAAGAACAGCUCGCCAAACUAGCAACCAAAUGCAAGAAAAUCUACCAGGCCGAGCUCGCACACAUGGACGGUGGUGACAAGAAGGCAAAGGAGCGCCCCGGGAAGACCGGGACGGACGAUGCUGAGUAUGACAGCGAUGAUACGAUCGAGAUGACGGAGGAAGAGAUCGACCUCGAUUGCAGACAGUUCUCGGGGAUUAGUAGUAGCUAG
rnacentral:rRNA from 1 species